rnacentral:rRNA from 1 species
GACGAACGCUGGCGGCGUGCUUAACACAUGCAAGUCGAACGGAAAGGCCCUGCUUUUGUGGGGUGCUCGAGUGGCGAACGGGUGAGUAACACGUGAGUAACCUGCCCUUGACUUUGGGAUAACUUCAGGAAACUGGGGCUAAUACCGGAUAGGAGCUCCUGCUGCAUGGUGGGGGUUGGAAAGUUUCGGCGGUUGGGGAUGGACUCGCGGCUUAUCAGCUUGUUGGUGGGGGAGUGGCUUGCCCAGGCUUUGACGGGUAGCCGGCCGGGGAGGGUGACCGGCCACAUUGCGACUGCGAUACGGCCCAGACUCCAACGGGAGGCAGCAGUGGGGAAUCUUGCCCAAUGGGCGGAAGCCUGAUGCGGCAACGCCGCGUGCGGGAUGACGGCCUUCGGGUUGUAAACCGCUUUCGCCUGUGACGAAGCGUGAGUGACGGUAAUGGGUAAAGAAGCACCGGCUAACUACGUG